AGCCCGCGUAGCUAAGAUGGUAUAGCAUUCCCAUGAUAAGGGAAAAGCCUCCGGUUCCAAUCCGGUCUUGUGCAAUUA